UUUAUUUUAUUCCCGCAGCGCUCAGGUUUGUGCUCCGUGGAGGCUGGGAGGUGGCGUCUGGUCAGGGAGACGUGAAGGGGGCUGCCCGCCCCAUCCCGCUGCGGGGACACUGCGUGGUCCCUGGCACCUGGGGGCUGCAAGGUCGGCGAGGGUGAUCGGGGAGAAGUGGUGUGCUUCUAGACCUAAUUCUUUAAAAACGCCAGUACGGAGCUCAUGGCUUGUUGUCCUCGCGCACUCAGAGCCUGGUGCAUGGAUGCACAUUCCGCCCUUCAGAGACAAUGAAGAUACGAAUUUGUAUCUCGCUCCUUGUUUCCCAGCUCCUGAGGCCAGUGAAGGACAAACGGCAGUCUGAGCAAAGAGAAGACAAAUAGUAAAGCAAAAAGAAGCACCUUGGAGUUGAAACAUUCCAGAUGGAUUUGGAAGAGUUCUGUGUGGAUUUUCUGAUAGAAUGUAGCAACCACAAGAGAUUAAAUGCUGUUGAGUGUAAUGAGGUGUGAAGAUGACAAGAUAAAUGAACCAGAGGCGCCUCAUCUUCCAACACACAGCGGUACAGGUUUUGUAUUCCAGACACAAACAUCACCUUGAAGUCAUACUAGAUGAAUCGCUGUAAGUAUAACUGAGAUAAUUUUUGUUUGUUUGUUUGUUUUUUUUCCGAUUACCUUUGUGCUUUAAAUAUGGUCUUCCUGAGUUAAGCAAUGACUUAAUUGCCUGUGAGAUUUGUCAGAAAGUUCUCUCUGAAAUAAACACAGUACUAGAAGUUUUUCUUUCUUUUCACACAUUGGGAGGAAGGACUGCUUCUAGUGACAGGGUACUAGACUAGAGUGAUCCUGGUCUCUUAGGAUGCUAGUACUUGACUGAUACAUAAAGCUCAGUAUAUUAGAAUUGUUAACUGUACCAUAGCAAAAUAUUUUUCUGUAGUUCUUCUAACAGUCCCUUUAAAACCAUGUGCAGAAUGUUACUUCCCAUGUGAAUAUUAUUUCUGACAACUCUGGUAUGGAUGAUAUGUUGGUGGAAAAUGUGAAGGACGGGAAUCAGCCAGUGAGCCAAGAUGGGACUUUAAAAAGAUAUUUACAAAUUAUUUAGCUACUAUGAAAAAGAAAAGAGAAGGCUGACUAAAGGUCUCAAUUAAUACAUUGUAUCAGCCUCUCUCAAUUUAGUUCCUCUUCUUUGUUGCUUUAAGACAACAUUGAUCUAAAAUUUAUUAGCAGUGUUUCAUUAACACCAGUGGAGGGCAGGCUUGAAUUGGAAACUCUGCUUGCUACUUCAAUUACUUGAACUUAAAAUAACAGAUAGUCCCUCGAGCUCAAAGCUGAUGGAAUUUCUCUACUAUUCUAAUUACUCUUCCGCUGGAUAAAAGCUUCUUUACAAUUGCUGUUUGACAAAAUGAAUGUUUUGCUGUGUUGGAGAAAGAAUAGUGAAUGUUUAAAUAAAGAUGAUAAUAUGAAAGUGGAUGAGUCAGUUUAUUAGCAGCUGUGUGCUAUUCAUGGGGGAGAAUCCAUGCUGCUUAAUAAUUAAUCACAUAUAUCUUAAAACGGUUUUUAAAAACAAGUGAACAUCAUUAUCCCCGCUUUAUAGAUGAAGAAACUGAGGAAUAGAGAGGUAUCUUUGCAAAUUAUCAAUUUAGGUGAUCUGCAGAGGCAAGAACAAAAUCCAGAUUUCUGAGAUCUAGUCCAGUGCUCAAGUAUAUCUUUUGCAUAAAUAAACUACAGUAUGUCUAACAGCUACAAACAUGGAACUGACUGCUUGCAGCCCAAAUUGCUGAGGAGCUUACAAUAAUGAAAUGGGCAGGUAACCUGACAGGCAGUGCUGUUUCUCCUGUAGAGCCUGGGUCAGAUCAGUUGGCUGAAGAUCUGCACUAAAAAUUGUAUGUUAUUAAAAGAAGUACUCUGCAUGUUCUUGUAUAUUUAUCAUUUUUUAAGUUAGAUUGUACUCUCUCCAAGGAAUGAAAAGCCUUUCUAUGUAGACCUUAAAAGCCAUUCCAGUCUGAGUACUAGGAAAUGUAUGGUUAAAAAGUCAAUUUGCAUACAGGUGAAGGGUUAAGAUACUAACUGAUUGUUCCUCCAUUCCUUUCAUCUUUAAUUAUGAGGGUUUCAAAUUAUGAGCAAAACAUGAGGCUUCCUAUUAACUCACUGAGACCAUCCUAUUUACUGUACCUGUGGUCAGUAACAUUCAUGGGAUUUGUGACUCAUCAUUAAGUGUUCUCCUUCAUUAAGGCACUAAAUUGAAAAGCUAAAUAUAGUUGCUAUUUUUAUUUGAUUAAAUAUAUGUAUUCUACUUUAUAUGCUGUCUUACGAGGUCAUUACCCAUUGUAACAGCUUUUAAAGUAUUAAAACGCUCUGCAUUUAUUUAUGCGUAAGCCUUAGCAUAAAUUGUUCUGUUUCUAGAAAAGACUGGAGGCAUACUGUUAUGAAGCCUCCCAUGCCUAAGACUUGUGUAAGACAUACCAGAGAACAUUUGGUGCUGCAUAUUAAAAACUCCAUGUGUAGAAUGAGUGAGCACAUUGCACAAUGCAUUUUUCCUUUCUUCUUAUUGCUAGUUUGCAGUGGCCAUCGUGUUGAUGGUGAGAAUUAGUCAUUGGUUUAUGACUCCAAUGAAAAGGACCACGUUCAAAAUCAUAAGGUAGAAUGUAAAUGAGUGGGCACUUAGAGUUUGAACUCAAACACUGCAUAACCUAUUACAGUGUUACUCAUUUUUGGUUUAUUUCCAGGCAAAUCUUGUUAAAAUAAGAGUCAGAAAUGUCUGGCAGUGAUUUAAAGUACAAUGUGGCAAUUAUCCCAAAAGUUAUUACUGUACAUUCAGGCAAUGAAUUUCAGGUUGAUGAUUUCUCUGUGUACUUUGUGUACCUCACAAAGAGUUGACAUCUCCAAAUAUUCAUAACUUUCCAUAGCUCACAGAGGCCUGAAAAUGCAAUUCAAAAGUGAAGAAAUUUUCUCUUCUGCACAAGGUAAGCAUCAACACUUUUCUAUUUUUAAAUGAUUGUUAUGUUUAUGGCUUACAAGCUGUCUGACAAGAAAACUUCUCCUCUUAAAAUGACCAGUAGUUGAAGGUGUUUACUUACAGACUAAUUUUGCAGCAAAUCAGUACCUGCUAGCACAAGAAAAAGGAAGAAAGCUAAGAAAGCUAAUGGUUCAGUUGACUAAAACUGUUGCUUUAAGACAUGUGUUUCCCACUGUGAGACUUCUUUAUUCUUUAAUUCAUCCCUAAUUUUAAAUUGCUGCUUGUAAAUUUCCAAAACAAAAUGUUUCAUACCCCCAGGAUAAAUGUAAUGAUAUGGGGAAGGAUACAUGUAAUAUGUUUAAGUCUAAAAUUAAAUCUUAAUUCCAGUGAAUUAAGACCAAUGUCUUCCAGUAUCUUUUAGAUUUCCUGUAUUUCAGCAUGCAAAGGCUUUAGCUCUUUUGCUUAACAGUCUCAGUCUCUUGCAAAGCACUAAUAUUCUCUUCAUCUUCAGUGCAGAAGUACAAUAAAAUGGAGGAAGUAGCACAUUCUGCAGCUGGAGAGCAAAGAUGUGGGUUCAUGGGAAGGACAGCAUCCAGAUAAAUCUAAGUCCAUCUUCCUAGCUUGUAGUUGGUUUUGUUUACAUUUUGCUCCAUAAGAAAAACAGAAACUCUUAUUGGUAAAAUUUCCUUCAGAUUACAACCAGAGAUAAACCCAUUCUGUACUCCUAAAUUAAAGUUUUCUUGUCAGAUAGCUUGUAAGCGAUAAACACAAAAAUCAUGUACAAAUAAAAAAGUGUUGAUGAAGCAACUAUUUGAAAUAGGAUGAAUACGAAAAUUAACAUUGAAAAUGCACUGAAGAUGGGGAAAAAUGAGAGGAUAGUUCCACUGCACCACCUCUAUCUGUUCAAUACACUGAGCUAAAGGAGAAUUUUACCUUGUUGUUGUUACCUGUGUGACUGAUUACUUACUUCAGUUAAAACCAUUAGUAGUUGUUAAGGGUAAAUAUGCUUGUGCUUUUGAGGGCAUGGCAAGUGUUUCCUACUGAAAGCUUCAGAGGUUUUCAGCUCCACUUCCAUGUAGCUUCCAUAUAACUUUUCUUAAAGCAGUCUUCGGUGGUAUAUCUGUUUGUUUGUACUCAACUGUCCCUUUUAUUUGUAAUAUAUAACGUGUUCAAAAAGCUCAUGAUUUAGGAGUAGUUAAGAUAUUACUACCUCAGAACCAUAAAAUGUCAUUGUUACGUACACUUGUGUUUGUUCUGCUGAGCAGCAAUUACAGAGGGAGCUGCAGAUAAUGCCAAAUACCUGUUAUAGAGCAGUGGCGAUUGCUAUAGGCAGAUUGACCAAACAUUUUUGCUAUAUUCCUCUACAUGAGUGCUCAAGUGUCCUUCCCUCUUUCAGUAAAUGCCUAUGUUUAUACUCACUGUCACAGGUAGCAGAGAAUCACCCAUUUAUUCUUUGUGGAGAACUUUGUGGAGUCUACUACCUGUGAGCAGACUCUGCUUAAAUUAGCUGGAACUCCUAAUCACAAAUCUCAUUUUUCACAUCCUUCAGCAUCCAACAGUCUGCUGCAACUCCUGUUAUACCUUCUGGGAUUCUAUGUAUAGGAAUUUCUUUUCUUCCCCAGGUGGCUCCAAGCCAGAAACAUAUCCGUGUGCAGAAAUGAGUCUGAAUGUUGUUCACACCACUUUUUUUGUGUUUGUUUUUCUUAGUAGUUUCUACUCUUGAACUGGUCACCAAAACUGCCAGUAAGCCUCAGCGUUCUUCUAGAAAGUAAGUACUGCAAAAGCCUUCCUCUCAGAGGACUAAACAUUAGAUGUUACCCGGGAGCCAUCUGUAUUUGAACUUAGUUAUCAGAAAAAGAUCUUACGUGUUUGCUCUGACACAAUUAUUUAUUUAUUAUUUGGAAUUUAGAUUGGGCUUCUGCAGAAAGUAGGAAGGCUUUCCUACUUUCUGGGAAGUAGCUCACCAGCCAGUUGGCUUCUGCUGUCCCCAGGGCUAGCCAUGAGCUGGCCUUUCCAGAUGCUUGUUGACAGUCUUAUGCUUGCAAUUUUUGCCAGGCCAGUAACAUGAUCACUGCAUAACAGCCUGCCUCACAGCAAGUCGAGGAAAAGAGGGCAGAUGCUAGCAGGAAUUGAGACUACUUGGAGAUUGAUGCCUGGCAAUAUUCACCAGAGGCCUGAGGAAGGUGAAGGCUUUCAGAGACCAGGGCUAAGCCCUACGCUGGGUUUACGUGGCAAGGUUUUGGUAGUGUGGGGGCUGCAGGGGUGGCCUCUGCAAGGAGUCCAGGAGCUACCCCAUGAUAAGAGUUCAGAAAGGACGGCAUCCUGUGGGAGGGACCCCACGUGGAGCAGGGUCAGAUGAGUGACCAUAAAGGAGCAUUGGAGAUGAAGAGUCAGAGACUGAGCACAGCCCCCAUUCCCUGUUCCCCUGUGCCACUUAGGGGGAGGACGUAGAGUAGGGUGGAUGGGGGGGAGGAAGGUGGUUUUAGUUUGUUUUUACUUUGCACUGCUCUAGUCUAUUAUCAAUAGGAAAUAAAUUAUAUUAAUCACCCUUA